rnacentral:lncRNA from 1 species
GAGCGAGGCCUCGCGGGGCCGCCUGGGACGGAGCGAGCAACAUGUGGGAGCGCGGGAGAAGGGGAACUGCGGGCGCGGUGGGGUUUUGUCUCGCUAACUGGGGAGGGGCGUGUUGUUGUUGUUUUUUUUUUUUUUUAAGAGAGUAGAAAGCUCGCCCGCUCCCCCCACCUCCGGACCCCCCAAGCUGCACCAAAAUUUUGUUGGGUUGCGUCCGCCGGCUCUGGAACGUUCGAGGGGGGUGCGGGGGGAGAAAGCGAGCUGGUGCGAACGGCGAAGCCCCACAGGGGUCGGAAGCCUUGAAAGGCACCGCUCUGACCUUUUGUAAAAGUUACUCGGGCUGCGGCUGCGUGGUGCGGGUUGAUUCCGCGAACCUGUUCGGGGCCAGUUACAAGGAAAAUUGCAAAGGAGGAGAGAAACUUAGGUGAAGCCGGGGUUUUGUGGUGGUGUUGGAUCGGUGGAAAUACCGUUUCUAUUGGACCGUCUACCGUCCGCCUGUUUGAGAUUUCAAGGUAGUGAUUACCUGUCUUAGACAAAUAAUGAAGUUUAAUUUCUCUCGUUUCUGCCCGGUUGUGUUGAGUGAGCAUCAGCUGACUGCCUGGCAAAUGCUUUGAGUAGAUUCCAGAUCAUAUUGUUCUUACAUUGUGAAAACGUCAAUCCAGCAAAGCUGCAACUUUGCAACUUGGCAUUUGUUAACUAUGCCCAUAAAAAGAAUCUUUUCAUGAGAGACGGAAUCACAGGUUGUAUAAUGGACUUGGAAGAUGGGGCUAACUUAGGGGCAAAGAGUGUUCAGAGUGGUGGUGGGAGAAUCUUAGGGUAGUCUGGCAUAAAGUAAAUAAGCAAUUCUUAUUUUUCAUUGUGUAUAUUCGUUGUACUUGGUAUUGUGUUACAUAAGGACAUUUUCACACAAACACGUGUAUUGUAUAUUAAGCAAAUAACUGCUUAUAUCUUCUAUACUCAUUUUCCCUCAUUACUGAUCUACCUUUCAGUUGAUAAGUUUGGGAUCCUAAAAAUUAGGCGUUAAAGACGCUUAAUUAAUGUAUGCUGAAGGUCAGUAGUAUGUAUUCAUUUGGAUAUUUGAAACAGUCCACUAAAAAUUUCGAACAGUGGACUCAAUCUUUCUGUUUAUUUUGUUGUUAUUAAUUUAAGUUCACCUUGGUUUUGAAAAGGACAAGAAAUCAGGUUUUAUUGUAAGCAGGGCUUAGUUUCCUUUUUAGGAAUUACCAUGCCGUGCAAAUAUUGUUCACCCCACCCCCGGAGACAGGGUUUUUUCUUUGUAGCCCUGGCUUACCUGGCACUCCUCUUUAGACCAGACUGGCCUCAAACCCAGAGAUCUGACUGCCUCUGCUUCCUGAGCCCUGGGAUAAAAGGCAUAUUUCCAAGUUUAGACAUAGUAUAUGCCUUUACCUCCCAGAGUGCACCUCUACUCCUGGCUCUGCUAAUGAAUUAUUAUUGUAUUUUCCACCAAACUACUAUGUAAAUUUAGUUAAUAUGCUCAUUAGUCACUCAGUUCAUCAUUUUCUCAUAUGUAGUUUAUUGAAAAUUAAUGUUUUGAAAUAUAUUAAAACCAGUUAGAAUUCAGGGGGGGGGGUGGUACACAUCUUUAAUUCCAGCACUUGGGAGGCAGAGGCAGGUUGGUUAGGCCAUCCUGGUGAACAGAUCCAAUUCCAGGACAGCCAGGGCUACACAGAGAAACCAUGUCUUGAAAAACCAACCAAAACAAAAAACCCUGAUUUGUCUAACAUAUCAACAAUUUUACAAUAUUUUGAUAAUGGUAAUUGAUUUACUUUGUGAUCUUACACAUUUCUUGCUUCUUUCUUUUUUUGUUUUUUGUUUUUUGAGACAGGGUUUCUUUGUAUAGCCCUGGCUGUCCUGGAACUCACUUUUGUAGACCAGGCUGGCCUCAAACUCAGAAAUCCCCCUGCCUUACUGGGAUUUGAACUCAGGACCCUUGGAAGAGUAGUCAGUGCUCUUAACCUCUGAGUCAUCUCUCCAGCCCUAUAGGCAGUUCUUAAGAGUACCAAGUGCUGGACAACUGACAUUCACAUUAAAGUUUCUUUUAAUUUAUAGUACAGGUUUUUGUUGAGGGUGAUGCUUGUAUAUUACAGAGGUCAGGACAGCUUUUCUAGGUUCUGUCCUGAGGGUUCAAACUCAGGAUGUCUAGCCUACCAGCAAGUGCCUUUACCUACAAAGCAUUGCAGGUCCUUCUUUGGUGUUUUUAAGGACAUUCACAUAGAUAAGUAAUAUCGCUACAUCUAUCUCCAGAACUCUUUGGCAUCCAGUUUGUAAAAUUGAAACUCUGGAAACAUGGUUAAGGGUGCUUGCUUCCAGGGACCCAGGCUCAGUUUGUAGUACCCACAUCUGGCAGCUCACAACCCCUGCUCCAGAGGAUCUAGUACCCUCUGCUGGCUUCUUAGGGCACUUAAACAUACAUAUAAAUAAAAGUUAAUCUUUCUUGUUAUAAAUAACAAGAAAAUCUGAACCCAUUAAACAGUAAUUCCUCUUGCCUCAGAUUUUACAAAAUUUGAAACAUUCUAACUAAAGUUUACUGUUCUUUUAGACAGCAGCAUUUUAAAGACCAUUAGCAUUAUGUGCUGUGGUGGUUUAUGCCUUUAAUCUCAGUGACUUUGAGGCCAGCAUGUUCUAUAUAUUACCAGGACAGCCAGGCAUACAUAGAGAGGCCCUGACUU